rnacentral:rRNA from 1 species
AACGCGAAGAACCUUACCUGGGCUUGAACCGCACAGGACCAUUCCUAGAAAUAGGGACUUCCCGCAAGGGACCUGUGUAGAGGUGCUGCAUGGCUGUCGUCAGCUCGUGCCGUGAGGUGUUGGGUUAAGUCCCGCAACGAGCGCAACCCUUACUCGUAGUUGCCACCCGCAAGGGGGAACUCUACGAGGACUGCUCCGGAUAACGGAGAGGAAGGUGGGGAUGAGGUCAAGUCAGCAUGGCCUUUAUGUCCAGGGCUACACACGUGUUACAAUGCGCGCUACAAAGCGUUGCAAACCCGCGAGGGGGAGCUAAUCGCAAAAAAGCGCGCUCAGUUCGGAUUGCAGUCUGCAACUCGACUGCAUGAAGCUGGAAUCGCUAGUAAUGGCGCAUCAGAACGGCGCCGUGAAUACGUUCCCGGGCCUUGUACACACCGGCUAC